GUGAACGCUGGCGGUAGGCCUAACCCAUGCAAGUCGAACGGCAGCACAGUAAGAGCUUGCUCUUACGGGUGGCGAGUGGCGGACGGGUGAGGAAUACAUCGGAAUCUACUUUUUCGUGGGGGAUAACGUAGGGAAACUUACGCUAAUACCGCAUACGACCUACGGGUGAAAGCAGGGGAUCUUCGGACCUUGCGCGAUUGAAUGAGCCGAUGUCGGAUUAGCUAGUUGGCGGGGUAAAGGCCCACCAAGGCGACGAUCCGUAGCUGGUCUGAGAGGAUGAUCAGCCACACUGGAACUGAGACACGGUCCAGACUCCUACGGGAGGCAGCAGUGGGGAAUAUUGGACAAUGGGCGCAAGCCUGAUCCAGCCAUACCGCGUGGGUGAAGAAGGCCUUCGGGUUGUAAAGCCCUUUUGUUGGGAAAGAAAAGCAGCAGGUUAAUACCCCGCUGUUCUGACGGUACCCAAAGAAUAGGCACCGGCUAACUUCGUG
rnacentral:rRNA from 1 species